AACCUAAACCUUUUUUUUUGGUGGGGGUGAAGCAUAAAGAACAGCUUUAUUGCUUUGCCAGGCUAAGGAGGCCACAGCAGGCUAAGGACCUCAAAACUGUGUCCUCCCUUGAGAGGGGAUAGCAAGGGGUUCUAUAGGUUUAGCUUAAUGGUGGGCAUGGGGGUGGCGGAGCUGUCUAGAAGCAUCAGGGUGCUUGCAUUCUUCUCCCUGGAUAGGAGAUUAGGAUAGACCAUUUCAAAGUCAUCAAGGCUGGAGUCAGGUGGUCCAUGGAAUGUUUCCAGUGUCUUUGGGGUUAUGGCAUUUUGACCUUCUCUCUGGAGUGAAGAUUGCUCAUCCACGGGGCGGGCGUGGGGCGGGGGGUGGGGGGGGGUCGCAAUCCUUAGGGAGUGUUUCAAGGGUAGAGAAAACACCAGGUUCACUACAACUCUGACUCGACAGUAGUCAUUAGUCAUAAGUUCGUGGGCCAAGGCAAGCCGUAACCUAAUGGAGACUAUUUCAAAGUAGCUUUUAGCUGUAACAAUGUCUCCGGCUCCAACACACCAGCACUCCAGGGCUUGAGCUUGGUUUCAGUUUCAGAGGAGGGAAUUGUGGCUCCAAGAAUUAACCCCUUUGUUCCUUUGGUUUCUGUGGGCCUGGUUCGGGGAGCCCAUCCACAUCACCGCCUUUUGAGAGGCCAUCUGACAACUGUUUCAACAAAGCGACGUCGUCUCAAAACAAGGAAACCAGUUCCAUGAAAUGGAGGGUCUCUCCCUCCCUCUCCCUCCCUCUCCCUCCCUCUCCCUCCCUCUCCUUCUCACUCUCCUCUACCCACAGCUCAUGGCAACAUGGGAUUCAUUCCAAGGGGAGGGGCACCACUUGAGACGCAGCACACAGCCUGGCGCUGGACGCCAAACCCGGCCCGGCCGGCGUGACCCUCCCCCAACUCGGAGGGGGGAGGCACAGGCCGCAUUAGGCAAAAGAGCAGUGCUUGGCCCCCACCAUGGGGGGGCCAGCGCACACCUCGCACAAGGGCGGCUCUUGCCCACACACUGUGGCAAGUAGGCAGCUACUGCCUGCAGACUUCAGAGGAGUAGCUGAAGUCCAGGUACCCCAAGGCCCCCCUCUGAGAGCGCUAGAGAAGACUUUCUCACCGAGGGCGCGUAGUGCCCCACACACCAUCGCUCGCCCCUUCGGGGACCCACAGGAGUGGGAACACACUCCCAAAAAGUGGGAAGCCAGAAGGGGGGGCUGCUCGUGGGGCACACCACCACCACAGUGGGGACCCGAGGGGACUCACCGCUGGGAGAGGAAAACGACACCACCGCUCGGCCUCGGGCAUCUGACAGGCAACCCGGAGUACUCCAGGGGCACCACAGAGGACCAGGGGAGGCACACUCAUGCACCCGCAGAGAUGCAAAGCAUGGCAGCGAGGGAGGCCUCCCCCACUUCGGGGAGGGACCGCCCACAAGGCACACGCCAAGGAGGCAAAGCGAGAAUGCCUGCUGCUGCGGCCCAAAGAACCCAGCCCCCCCCCCCCCCCCCCCCCCCNCCAGAAGGCAGCAGGGCGGGAGACCAGAGGUCAGGCCAGAGGCCGCACCCCUAUCUUCCCCCACAACACCCGCAGGUGGGGGAGGAGCAGCGAGGGGCCCGCGGACAGAAUGAGAGGUGCGGCCUAGCUCACCGUGAGAGGCUGUCCCUCAUCUGGCGUGGCUUAGGCCCAAGCCCAGGAGAGCGCCACAUCACCACAUUGAUGUAAACCUUUUUUUUUAAUCAUUUCAUAAUUAUGUUGGUUGACUUGUCUGUGAUUCUGAUCUUACAAGGAGAUGAAACUCUUUGUAGCAGUGGGUGAGC
rnacentral:lncRNA from 1 species